UAUAUUCUAAUAAUAUAUAUUCUAAUAAUAUAUAUUCUAAUAAUAUAUAUUCUAAUAAUAUAUUUUCUUUACUAUCACUUUUUAUCAAUUUAACACAUCCUUGCUGAAUAAAAGUAUUGAUUUUAUUUAAAAAAAGAAAGAAAAAAAAAUUACUGACCCCAAAUUACUGACCAGUAGUGUAUUUAUAUUUUAAAAACAUAGCUUCUUUUUUUUUUUUUUUUUUUACUUUUUAUUCAUCAAAGUAUCCUAAAAAAGUAUCACAUGUUCUGAAAAAAUAUUAAGCAGCAGAACUGUUUCCAACUUUGAUAAUGAAUCAUCAUAUUAGAAUGAUAUCUAAAGGAUCAUGUGAUAAUGAUCCUAGAAAAUUCAGCUUUGCUUCACAGAAAUAAAUGAUAAUUUAAAGUAUAAUAAAUUUAAAAACAAUUAUUUUAAAUUGUAAUAAUAUAUCACAAUAUUAAAUUUUUUUCUGUAUUUUUGAUCAAAUAAAUGCAGGCUUGAUGAGCAGAAGAAACUUCUUUCAAAAACAUUAAAAAUAGUAAUGUUUCCAAACUUUUGACCUGUACUGUAUAUAUAUAUAUAAAUUAAAUAUAAAUAUUUAAUAAGUUUCAUUUUAUUAUAGUACCAGUGCCUGGUAAAGCAUCUACUAUAGACAGCUCUUAAAAGUGUGAAAUGGACAUAAUUUUCCCUGCCUGUGAUGUCAUAGCUCAGGAUAGUUGCUAAUGGUUUGGGACAGUGCAUGUUCUUGUGCGGUCAACAAGAAGUCGAUAUUGUCAUCAUGACAUCAUUUUACUGUGUGUUUAGAGUGAGUAGUCACAUGCCAUUUAUGUUUCAGGUGACUGUCCCUAAAAACUAUAAUAAAAUAUAAUGAUUUGAGCUGUUCAGAUUUAAAUGUAGAUUUUUGUAUAUGGUAAACACAUGAUAUAAGAAUAUAUUCAGUACUAUGUCUUGACACAUCUAUGAUUUGGGAACAUAUGGUAUGGUACGGUAACAUUUUGUUUUACCAGGAAAUAAAACUAGCAAAAAAUACAAAAGUCUUCAAUCUUGUAAAAUCCAUAUUUACACAUAUAUCCAUAGAUUUUCUUAGCAAUCUCUAUCUUAACAAAAUGACCUAAAAUGUGUAUAAAUCAUUUGAUCCAAUCAAAUCCUGAUCACAGCUGGUCAGCACACCAGCAGUAUGCAAUAUGUAUCUGUCCUAAAUCACACUGUUAGACACUGACGAGCAAAUGAGAAGAAUGUGCGGAGUCAUCCCCCUUCCCUGCGCCUCUUAAUCUGUUCAUUUUCACUGUCAUCCAUACACUCUCUCUAUCCAGCAUGCCCACAGUAGUCCACAGUCAUUCAUUUAAUCCCACGAUUCAUAUCAAGUGCAUUUUUUUGGCCACACACACACACACACACACAC
ensembl:lncRNA